rnacentral:misc_RNA from 1 species
GUGAAUCAUCAAAUCUUUGAACGCAAAUUGCACUCUCCGGUUUUCCGGGGAGGAAGGCCUGUUUGGGGGUCAGCCUAAAAAAAAUCGGCAUUGUUGCUGUUUUAUGGUGACUUUCAUCGGAGAUGGGUUAUCUUAAAUCUGGGUUUAAGCGACUUAAAAAUUUUUUUUACGAUUCUAAGAAUGUUUCUAGGAUUUUUCUUCUACGUUUAAG